rnacentral:rRNA from 1 species
GAUGAACGCUGGCGGCGUGCCUAAUACAUGCAAGUCGAGCGAACAGACGAGGAGCUUGCUCCUCUGACGUUAGCGGCGGACGGGUGAGUAACACGUGGAUAACCUACCUAUAAGACUGGGAUAACUUCGGGAAACCGGAGCUAAUACCGGAUAAUAUAUUGAACCGCAUGGUUCAAUAGUGAAAGACGGUUUUGCUGUCACUUAUAGAUGGAUCCGCGCCGCAUUAGCUAGUUGGUAAGGUAACGGCUUACCAAGGCAACGAUGCGUAGCCGACCUGAGAGGGUGAUCGGCCACACUUGAACUGAGACACGGUCCAGACUCCUACGGGAGGCAGCAGUAGGGAAUCUUCCGCAAUGGGCGAAAGCCUGACGGAGCAACGCCGCGUGAGUGAUGAAGGUCUUCGGAUCGUAAAACUCUGUUAUUAGGGAAGAACAAAUGUGUAAGUAACUAUGCACGUCUUGACGGUACCUAAUCAGAAAGCCACGGCUAACUACGUGC